rnacentral:rRNA from 1 species
GUUAAGCAACGUUGAGCGUGGAUAGUACUUGGAUGGGUGACCGCUUGGGAACACCACGUAACGUUGGCG